CGGUGGCCUGUCACGUGGUACGCGAGUGUGCAAAGCGCCAUUGGACGAGCAGGCGAGGAAGAUUUGAAUUAGCGGAUGUGACGUCAUGAAUCGAGGACGGUGUGUGCUCAAGGAAGUUGUCAUACAGGUGCGACAUGUUACGUCAUGUUCAAAUCUAUUCCAAGAUGGCGCCCGCUCGCCCGCAACAAACAUUUGCGAGCGUGAUUUUCUCCCGUUUUGGACGACUGCUCUAUUCAUGCCGCCAUUUUGGACGCUCUUAAAGGCCUCCCAGCCAACACUAUUCUAUACAAAGCAAGCAGGAGGCUCCUGAGCCAUCUCAGUGAUGUUGUGGAUGCUGAGGAAGAGUAGUCCCAAAUCAGGUAUUUUUUGUAUGAAACCAGUGAGCAGGGUGACGCCGGUGAGAAGUCACAGCAUCGAACUCCCUGACGCAGAGCUGUGCGUUACCAUUAGCCAGACCAGGCAACUGCCUGGGGCAAGGCCACUAGGGGGCUCUUAUUUAUCCAUUUUUACAUUUGGCACUUGUCCCUUGUAUUCUUGCACUCUCAUACGCUGCUGUGACAAGUAAAUGUCCCUGUUGUGGAAUAAAGUUCUAUCAAUCAAUUGUU